UAGGGAGCGAGCGUUGUCCGGAAUUACUGGGUGUAAAGGGUGCGUAGGCGGCUCUGUAAGUCAGAAGUGAAAUCCAUGGGCUUAACCCAUGAACUGCUUUUGAAACUGUGGAGCUUGAGUGAAGUAGAGGUAGGCGGAAUUCCCGGUGUAGCGGUGAAAUGCGUAGAGAUCGGGAGGAACACCAGUGGCGAAGGCGGCCUACUGGGCUUUAACUGACGCUGAGGCACGAAAGCGUGGGUAGCAAA
rnacentral:rRNA from 1 species